CAGCAGCCGCGGGAAUACGGAGGGUGCAAGCGUUAAUCGGAAUUACUGGGCGUAAAGCGUGCGUAGGCGGUUCGUUAAGUCUGUUGUGAAAGCCCCGGGCUCAGCCUGGGAAUGGCAAUGGAUACUGGCGAGCUAGAGUGUGUCAGAGGAUGGUGGAAUUCCCGGUGUAGCGGUGAAAUGCGUAGAGAUCGGGAAGAACAUCAGUGGCGAAGGCGGCCAUCUGGGACAACACUGACGCUGAGGCACGAAAGCGUGGGGAGCAAACAGGAUUAGAUACCCCCGUAGUCCCUGUCUCUUAUAC
rnacentral:rRNA from 1 species